GAACCACAGCUUGUCUUCAUCUCCAUCCAGUCCUCUGACUCUGGAGAGUAUUACUGUACAGCUGAGAAUCAGCUUGGGAAGAGGACAUCUGAAUACAUUGUUAUUGAUGUGAAAUAUGCUCCAAAGCUUCCCUCUGUGUCAGUGAGUCCCUCUGGUGAAAUAGUUGAGGGCACUUCAGUGACUCUGACCUGUGGCAGUAAUGCUAAACCAGCAGCUACUUAUACCUGGUACAAAGAGGACCAAACAGUGCUUCAAGGGCAACGAGGAAGUUUUCAUUUCACCUCCAUCAGCUCUGAGGACAGAGGGAUCUACUACUGCAAGUCUGAGAAUCAAUAUGGACAGAUCAACUCUUCAUUUCUAUUCAUUGACGUCCAGUAUGCUCCAAAGCUUCCCUCUGUGUCAGUGAGUCCCUCUGGUGAAAUAGUUGAGGGCACUUCAGUGACUCUGACCUGUGGCAGUAAUGCUAAACCAGCAGCUACUUAUACCUGGUACAAAGAGGACCAAACAGUGCUUCAAGGGCAACGAGGAAGUUUUCAUUUCACCUCCAUCAGCUCUGAGGACAGAGGGAUCUACUACUGCAAGUCUGAGAAUCAAUAUGGACAGAUCAACUCUUCAUUUCUAUU